UUGCUUAUAGGAACGAAUUGGAAGAGCAGUUCUAGUUUAACAUUUCAAUUUUCAACAUCCCGCGUUCAGAUGUUCACUUCCCACUUAAUUUUGAACCUCCCUCCAAAUCCCCCAUUUUAGGUUAGCUAUCAGAUUCAUUUCAUUUCUCUUCCCAUCACCACAGUCCUCCACUUGCUUGCCGAUCUCCAUCAGCCAUGGCACAUCGCUUUUAUAAUUUGGUCUGGGUUAUGAUUUCAUCGCACUCCAAUACCCUCUCCGCCCACUGCCUUUGCGUCUUCAUGCAAAGCAAAUUCGCUCAGCACGAUUGGAUCUGAGGAUGAACACGCACCAACUUUUCAAGACGCGAGCCCAACACCUGCAGUCGUAGUGGAGUCAUCAGGACUCAGAGCAAGUGAUUACGGGGUGAAAGGUUUGAUCGAUUUUGAGUCCUUGAUCUUACUCUGAAGAAGAAGAAGAAUCACCUAGACACUGAAGGUUUUGAGGAUCUUUAAAUACCUAAUUCGGAUAUGGAAAGUGCUUGAGAAUGCAAGACUGGACUUGUCUAUGUUUUCUUACGACUAUAUUCUAGGUGACUGGUUUGAGGAAGAAGCCAUCUUCACUGUUGUGACUGCAGGUGCUAAAUAAGACAACUGGUACUUUCAGCAAAUCUCCCUCCUGUUUCUUCAGUACUGCUUCUAAGGUUGCUUUGGAGUGUUAAACUUUCUUGGUGUUUUGAUCGGUAUUCCUUUUUGCCCAAAUUUGCUUAUUAUGUCUGAAAAUGGCCUGAUCUUAAAUAGCCUUUUUGUGGCUUGCACUUUUGCAUUGAUAUUGAUGUUAAGGUUUGUAAUUUCUUGCAGAAAGCUACAAACCCAUGUUUAGUUUAUGACUUUGGAAUUAGUUUGUAUAGUAUUUCCACUUUGAAUAUUGUUUUGACUGUGAAUAUUAACCGAUAGCGCAUUGUGAUCAUGGUCUAAUUGCUUUAGUUGUAAAAACUUUGUCUUUGACAACUGAUUUAUGCAGAAUAAUUGAAAUAAAACUGAAUUGAUUAAUAUAUGUGCAUAUUCUUGUUAUUGUUGAUAUAGAUGGACACAUUCUCAUUUUAUCAACAUGCUA